CCUGUUCUUCCUAAGUGCUGUUCAAGUCACCAGCAGCUCAGAAAACCAUCGAACAUCGGAGAAUGGCCACUGCACACAUUAAUGCUUCCACUGCUGCCCUUUGACGGUUUUUGUACCUAUUCAUGCUGUUUCAGGUUCAGUGUUGUCAUCUCACACUGGACUCCUGUUCUCCAACAAGUGACUGUGUAAACGGGGAGGAGAGAAAUCGCAAGGUUUCUAACAAUUAUCUGCAGCUUUCUUACCAAGACCCAGUAGCCUGCAGAAGAGAACGCCUCCAAUUUCCUGCCCUCUCAUUGGCAUGGCCUACACCCUCACUGUGUGACCUCAGGAACCUUGUCUCCCCAGGAGAGAAAGUCCUCAUUGCUGCAAGUUCCCUGAAAGAUUUGCGGAAGAAUCGGGCUCUUUUGUUUCUGCCCUUCAUUCAUCUUCCUUCCCUUUGCCAAAACAAACACACUUGCAUUCUGAAAUCAACAGCAUCAGCCAACUGUGUUUGCCAUGGCCUAACCCCUGCACAACCUGUGUUUGAACCCUUUGGAGGCUUUGAUGCCGAGACUGAAAAAUCCAAGUGAUGUUCAUUUAUCCCACUUGGAAUCGCUUGAUAAAUUGUGUUGCUGGAGUUAACACUUGCCAGUUAGUCUCUUUGGGUUUAUUGGCUUUGUGUCAACUUCAUCCAUCGCUGAAUUGGCCAAGUGGUGCACAUCCUGCGUGGCUUUUGGAUAGAAAGCUUCUCUUAACUUGCUUUGUGCUUGUUUGGAGCUUCCACUGGAAAUACUGCCUUCCUGGUCUGGCAAUACUCCUGUGAUCCAGGCAGGGAAGGUGUUUGCAUUUUUCAGACACUGAAACCGGUAUUUAAUUGGGAUCAGCGAUUCAUUCACAUUACAAGGCGCCUGGCAAAACCAGGACUUGAACGUAAGUCUCAUGACUGAAAAUUCAGUGAACUUACCCCAUUAUUCCCUUAGCAUCCAGUUUAGUGUUAAAUAAAGGA
rnacentral:lncRNA from 1 species